CUCCAAAGAAAAUUAGAGUGGUUCCCUAAACCCUAAAAGACAAAAUUUGAUCUCCAUCACCGCUGCAUCUUCACACUACCGAAAAUCAUCUCUAUCUAUGUUUUGUAAUCUCCUUUGUUAUCGUCGAGCACCAGUCCCUGCUAGAUAAUUACAUCAUUUUGGAUAUGGAACUAUGAAAAUUAGAGGUCACAACAGAUUGGAAAUUCAACAACGUGAUGAAGAGGAUAUGUGAUAGCAUAUUGAGAAAUCGAUGGGUUGCCUGAACUACUCUCGAGCUGAACCUUAUAUUGAUCAGUUGAUAAAUAGUUAGAAUCUCACUGAAACCCAAGCACAUGAUGGUUAAUAUAAUGAGUUUAAUAGUUCUGUUUGUGGCACUAAUGUUCAACAUAAGGUCGAAUCAGUGACAGAGAUGUACCCAAGCAAACAAAAAUAAUAGGGUCAAGCACAAGAUGUCUCAAAUAGGACGAUUCAAAAAUAUUGCUACCUUGAUAGAUGGGCAGGUUAUACAAUUUUAGGUUCAAAAAAUCCACAUGUGAAAGCUUUCAAUAUGAAGAGUUCAGGAAAUUAUUUGAAGAUAUUAUUCAACAUGAUUGUUUACAUGCUCAAACACUAGAAGUUUAUAUUUUAUGUUCACAUUAAUCUUUUGGAUUAAUACUUUCUUUUGUUUGUUUGGAUUUAAUGUGAUAUACUC